UACGUAGGGUGCGAGCGUUGUCCGGAAUUACUGGGCGUAAAGCGCGCGUAGGCGGCUUUGUAAGUUAGAGGUGAAAGCCCGGGGCUCAACCCCGGAACUGCCUUUAAAACUGCAUCGCUUGAAUCCGGGAGAGGUGAGUGGAAUUCCGAGUGUAGAGGUGAAAUUCGUAGAUAUUCGCAAGAACACCGGUGGCGAAGGCGGAUCUCUGGGCCAUUACUGACGCUGAGGAGCGAAAGCGUGGGGAGCGAACAGG
rnacentral:rRNA from 1 species